GCAUAUCAAUAAGCGGAGGAAAAGAAACUAACAAGGAUUCCCCUAGUAACUGCGAGUGAAGCGGGAAAAGCUCAAAUUUAAAAUCUGGCGGUCUUCGGCCGUCCGAGUUGUAGUCUGGAGAAGUGCUUUCCGCGCUGGACCGUGUAUAAGUCUCUUGGAACAGAGCGUCAUAGAGGGUGAGAAUCCCGUCUUUGACACGGACUACCAGUGCUUUGUGAUGCGCUCUCAAAGAGUCGAGUUGUUUGGGAAUGCAGCUCAAAAUGGGUGGUGAAUUCCAUCUAAAGCUAAAUAUUGGCGAGAGACCGAUAGCGAACAAGUACCGUGAGGGAAAGAUGAAAAGCACUUUGGAAAGAGAGUUAAACAGUACGUGAAAUUGCUGAAAGGGAAACGCUUGAAGUCAGUCGCGUCGUCCGGAACUCAGCCUUGCUUCCGCUUGGUGCACUUUCCGGAUGACGGGUCAGCAUCGAUUUUGACCGUCGGAAAAGGGCUGGAGUAAUGUGGCACCUCCGGGUGUGUUAUAGACUCUGGUCGCAUACGGCGGUUGGGAUCGAGGAACGCAGCGCGCCGCAAGGCAGGGGUUCGCCCACUUUCGCGCUUAGGAUGCUGGCAUAAUGGCUUUAAACGACCCGUCUUGAAACACGGACCAAGGAGUCUAACAUACCUGCGAGUGUUUGGGUGGAAAACCCGAGCGCGUAAUGAAAGUGAAAGUUGAGACCUCUGUCGUGGAGGGCAUCGACGCCCGGACCUGACGUUCUCUGAAGGAUCCGCGGUAGAGCAUGUAUGUUGGGACCCGAAAGAUGGUGAACUAUGCCUGAAUAGGGUGAAGCCAGAGGAAACUCUGGUGGAGGCUCGUAGCGAUUCUGACGUGCAAAUCGAUCGUCAAAUUUGGGUAUAGGGGCGAAAGACUAAUCGAACCAUCUAGUA
rnacentral:rRNA from 1 species